AUUGAACGCUGGCGGCAGGCCUAACACAUGCAAGUCGAACGGUAGCACAGAGAGCUUGCUCUCGGGUGACGAGUGGCGGACGGGUGAGUAAUGUCUGGGAAACUGCCUGAUGGAGGGGGAUAACUACUGGAAACGGUAGCUAAUACCGCAUAACGUCGCAAGACCAAAGAGGGGGACCUUCGGGCCUCUUGCCAUCAGAUGUGCCCAGAUGGGAUUAGCUAGUAGGUGGGGUAACGGCUCACCUAGGCGACGAUCCCUAGCUGGUCUGAGAGGAUGACCAGCCACACUGGAACUGAGACACGGUCCAGACUCCUACGGGAGGCAGCAGUGGGGAAUAUUGCACAAUGGGCGCAAGCCUGAUGCAGCCAUGCCGCGUGUAUGAAGAAGGCCUUCGGGUUGUAAAGUACUUUCAGCGGGGAGGAAGGUGUUGUGGUUAAUAACCACAGCAAUUGACGUUACCCGCAGAAGAAGCACCGGCUAACUCCGUGC
rnacentral:rRNA from 1 species